GCUUCCACCCGGACGAGAUGACCGGUGUGCGCCCCGGCCUUCCAGCACAAUCCCGUCUGCUCGCAGCUUCCAGGCCCUCUUCAGGAUCGGGACGCCUGCCCCGGGGGCCACCACAGCGCCGCCGCCCCCCCACCGAGAGAGCCGCGCUCAACACAGCGCUCGUGAGGCUGCUCGGAAAACAUUCGUGGACACAGAGAAAAGAAAUCCUCUUGUGUGAACUGUCCUGGGUGCGAUGGUCCCUAGACAGACCUCUGGGAAGAGGAGGAAGGACUCCGAAGGGCUACGGAGCAGGCAGGCAGGACAGGAGCUGAGAGAGAGACGGGAGAGAGGCAGCAGCACGAGCUCCUGUCCUCCUGGGAGCACACUGCCCUACUUCGCUCUGUUAGAAGGCGCUGGUUUAAUUGCUGGAGGGGCUUCAUAGGAAACACGUGCGAGACGGGGUACUGCUGGCACUCAAAUACCAGGAGGAUCACAGAGAGGGGGCGUACAGGAACGGAGGCCUGUCCUGUCCAAAACUGAGAACACGGGCACGCAGGGUUCUGCUUUCGUGCGGCAUCUCUGCAGUUGACAGCACACUUUGGAAACAGCUGGGUAGACGCCAGUGCAGAUCCUGUGCACCAUGUCUGAACUCGCUGGGAUGAGCCUUGUAGGACCCAGAACAGGACCUGUAUCUGUCUUCACACAGGCUGCCAUCACAUCAUCCAGGUGGGGGCUGUGCAUAGGUGGUGGUGGAGGGGAGUCCCUAUUACCUGUAAAGUGCUUUGAGUGGAGUGUCCAAAAAAAAAGCACUGUUUAAGUGUAAGUAAUUGUAUUGCAGAACAUGUUUUUAAGUGCUUGGAGCUGAGCAGUAA